rnacentral:rRNA from 1 species
UAAAUAGCCGUGGUAUUUUGACCAUGCUAAGGUAGCAUAAUCAUUUGGUUUUUAAUUGAAAUCUUGUAUGAAGGGUUGAACGUGGGCUAGGCUUUAUUGACUUAUGUGUUUAAAAAUUAAUUUUUAGGUGAAGAAUCCUAAAUGUUGGAGGAGGACAAGAAGACCCUAUCGAGCUUUAGUCUAAUUUUGAGGAAAAUAUAGGUUUUUAAGAAAGAUUUUGGUUGGGGCAACCGAGGAAAUAACUUCCUUUAGAAUAGGAAAAUAGAAAUGAUUUUGAUAAAGAAAUUUUUAUAUUUGAACAAGUUACCGUAGGGAUAACAGCAUAAUUCUUUUUUAGAGUUCUUAUUGAAAAUAGAGUUUGUGACCUCGAUGUUGGAUUAGGAUUACCUUGAGGAGUAGAAGAUUCAGAGGGUUGGUCUGUUCGACCAAUAAAAUCCUAC